rnacentral:rRNA from 1 species
CGGUUGAUCCCGCCGGAGGGCACUGCUAUCAGAGUUCGACUAAGCCAUGCAAGUCUGCCCGUGAGCUUUCACGGACGGCGUACGGCUCAGUAACGCGUAGUCAAUCUAACCUAAGGACGUGAACAACCACGGGAAACUGUGGUGAAUUCGCGAUAGCUCAUCUAUGCUGGAAUGCUUGAUGAGUUAAAUCGCCGGGAAAAUUGUAUCUCGGCGGCCUCAGGAUGAGACUGCGUCUGAUUAGGUUGUUGGUGGGGUAAUGGCCCACCAAGCCGAUAAUCAGUAGGGGCGAUGGGAGUCGGAGCCCCGAGAAGGGAACUGAGAAAAGGUCCCUAGUCCUACGGGAUGCAGCAGGCGCGAAAAUUUUACAAUGCGCGCAAGCGUGAUAGAGGAACUCUGAGUGGCGAUAGGCGAAAGUUUGUCGUCUUUUGGCAAUCUUAUAACGAUUGCAGAAUAAGUGGUGGGUAAGACCAGUGCCAGCCGCCAUCGACCGACGCAAAUGCCCGGUCAACGGUAAGCGGUAAUACUGGCAGCACGAGUGGUGUCCACGAAUAUUGGGUCUAAAGGGUCCGUAGCUGGCCUGUUAAGUUCACUGUGAAAUCUUGGGGCUCAACCUCAAGGCGUGCAGUAAAUACUGGCAGGCUUGAGAGCGGGGGAGGUAAGGAGUACUCACGGGGUAGGGGUAAAAUCCUGUAAUCCUGUGGGGACUACCAGUGGCGAAGGCGCCUUACCAAAACGCGUCUGACAGUGAGGGACGAAGGCUAGGAGAACGAAUCGGAUUAGAUACCCGAGUAGCCCUAGCAGUAAAUUAUGCAGACCGCGGUGUUGCCGUGACCUCGAGUCCCGGCAGUGCCGUAGCGUANGUGUUAAGUUCUGUCACCUGGGGAGUACGGNNCGCAAGGCUGAAACUUUAAAGGAANUUGGGCGGG